rnacentral:rRNA from 1 species
UAGUGGCGAACGGGUGAGUAACACGUGGGCAAUCUGCCCUGCACUCUGGGACAAGCCCUGGAAACGGGGUCUAAUACCGGAUACGAGCCUCCUCCGCAUGGUGGAGGUUGGAAAGCUCCGGCGGUGCAGGAUGAGCCCGCGGCCUAUCAGCUUGUUGGUGAGGUAACGGCUCACCAAGGCGACGACGGGUAGCCGGCCUGAGAGGGCGACCGGCCACACUGGGACUGAGACACGGCCCAGACUCCUACGGGAGGCAGCAGUGGGGAAUAUUGCACAAUGGGCGAAAGCCUGAUGCAGCGACGCCGCGUGAGGGAUGAAGGCCUUCGGGUUGUAAACCUCUUUCAGCAGGGAAGAAGCGAAAGUGACGGUACCUGCAGAAGAAGCGCCGGCUAACUACGUGCCAGCAGCCGCGGUAAUACGUAGGGCGCAAGCGUUGUCCGGAAUUAUUGGGCGUAAAGAGCUCGUAGGCGGCUUGUCGCGUCGGUUGUGAAAGCCCGGGGCUUAACCCCGGGUCUGCAGUCGAUACGGGCAGGCUAGAGUUCGGUAGGGGNAGAUCGGAAUUCCU